rnacentral:rRNA from 1 species
UAAAUGGUUUUUCGUAGGUGACCUGCGGAAGGAUCAUUA